GGCGAGAUGGCCGAGCGGUCUAAGGCGCCAGAAUCAGGAUCUGGUCCGUAACAGGGCGUGGGUUCGAAUCCCACUCUCGUCA
rnacentral:tRNA from 1 species